rnacentral:snoRNA from 1 species
GCAGCCUCUACCCAUUGGUUGGUCAAUUUUUCCACAUUUUUGACACGACUAAGAUUCAAGGCUGCCAGAAUAACUAGGCGACUUACCAUGCCAAUGGUUUCCCUGUACCAUUCGCAGAAGUUGAAGCCUAACA